UAAUGUCAUCAAUGAGAGCCACAACUGAAGCAGAAGCAUGGACCAUCCGAAGAUUCUUGGAGGAGUGCAUGUACAGUGUAUAGCGCUAGUUAUAGACGAGAGUGAAUAGGAAUCCAAAGUUCAUGUUGGUGUUUGGACCGCAUUUGCAAUGAAUUGGGUAGGUGAAGAGAAGAAAAUAGUCAGCGGUGUGUAGUCUCGACGUUUCAGAUGAUACCAAGGCUUUGUAGGCCACGCCUCUGUUCCUGAACAGAAGGCCCAAACAAGAAUCAAUAAAACUUUCAGAUGAAUUUAUUGAGGAUUAACAAGUUUUUCACUGCCAUUUUUUGUGGGCCAUGUGGUGGGGUUUGACUGUGAAUGCUAUUGUCUAAUGUUUGUGUCUUGUUACUAGGGCUUUAAUUAUUCUCCUAAUUAUUUUAUUAGUGAGGAUAAUGACUACUUUGUAUUUUUCUUG
rnacentral:misc_RNA from 1 species